CGCCGCGCGCGACACGCCGGCCCUCCGCGUCAGCGUCGGUCGCCUCCGCCCGCUUGGAAUUUCGCGGCGACAGCGACCACGCCUGCGAAGCUGCGAGCGAGCGAGGGAGGUGGCGGUGGCAGUAGAGUAGAGUAGGAGUAGUAGAUAAGCAAGCUGCGGGGCGCCGCCCAGAUGGGAAUCCGGUUCCGGCCCGCACGCGCGGACGAACGCCCCCGCCGCGCAUCUCUCUCCCCGCGCCGCGCGAGCGCGAUGGCUGCUGCUGCUGCUUCGCCCGCUCCGUCCUCCGCGGCGGUGGUCUUCGCGGUCAACGGCGAGCGCGUGGAGCUCCGCGACGGGGACGUGGACCCCGGCGCCACCCUCCUCGAGUUCCUCCGCACGCGCACCCGCUUCACCGGCCCCAAGCUCGGCUGCGGCGAAGGCGGGUGCGGCGCGUGCGUGGUGCUGCUCUCCACCUACGACGCGGCGUCGGGCGCGGUGUCGCACGCCGCGGCGAGCUCCUGCCUGACGCUGGUGCACGGGCUCCACCACCGCGCGGUCACCACCACCGAGGGGCUCGGCCGCGGCCACGCCGUGCACGAGCGCCUCGCGGGGUUCCACGCCACGCAGUGCGGCUUCUGCACGCCCGGGGUGUGCAUGGCCAUCGCCGCCGCGCUCGCGGGCGCCGAGGCCAAGGGCGAGGGACGGAGGCCGCCUCCGCCCGAGGGGGCCACCAGGCUCACGGCGGCCGAGGCGGAGAGUGCGGUGGCGGGCAACCUCUGCCGCUGCACGGGGUACCGCCCCAUCGCCGACGCCUGCAAGAGCUUCGCGGCCGACGUGGAUUUGGAGGACCUGGGCCUCAACACCUUCUGGAGGAAGGGGGGCGCCCAUGCUUCCAAGCUGCCGCGGUACGAUGAGGGGGCCAUCGGUGUCUUCCCGGAGUUCCUGAAGACUGAGAUCAGAGCUUCUUCUGGGAUUGAAGGGUGCACGCCGCCGGCAUUGGUUGGGAGUGGCAGCACUUGGCACCGGCCUCGGAGUGUGGAGGAGUACUAUAAUCUGGUAGGUUCUGAGUUGUUUGGCAAAAGUAGAACAAGGGUGGUUGUGGGCAACACUGCUUCAGGCGUUUACAGAGAGGCAGAGGUGUAUGAUAGGUACAUUGACCUGAGAUGCAUCCCGGAACUGAAUUCAGUUAGUAAGGAAGCCAAGGGUGUUGAAAUUGGAGCUGCUGUAUCGAUUUCCAGAGCAAUUGAGGUUUUAAGAGAAGCUGGGGGCUGCAAUGAUGUGAUCUUUUGUAAGAUUGCUGAUCACAUGGAAAAGGUGGCUUCUACGUUUGUCCGGAACACAGCGAGCUUGGGUGGAAAUCUGAUAAUGGCACAGAGGGACCAGUUUGCCUCUGACAUCGCAACAAUCCUUCUUGCUGUCGGUUCUUCAGUAUGCAUCCAGGUAUCAUCGAAAAGGCUGACUGUCACCUUGGAGGAAUUCCUGCAGAUGCCACCUUGUGAUUACAAGACACUGCUAUUGAGCAUUUACAUUCCUCAUGGGACUCCCACUGGUGCUUUAUCUGAUUAUAGAACCAUGGAUAAGGCAGUAAGUACAAGAGGAACCUCUGUGCUAUUUGAGACAUACCGAGCUUCUCCACGCCCUCUUGGCAAUGCAGUUGCAUAUCUUAAUGCUGCUUUCUUGGCUCGAGUUGCUCCAGAUGGAACUUCAAACAGCUUAAUAUUGAGAGAGCUAUGCCUGGCUUUUGGUGCAUAUGGAACCCAGCAUGCCACCAGGGCUAGCAAUGUUGAGAAACUGUUAGUGGGUAAACCCAUUACUGCAUCGGUACUGCUUGAAGCGUGUACACUUCUCAAGAAAACAAUUGUUCCUAAUGAAGGCACAAGACAUGCUGCAUAUAGAUCAAGUUUGGCAGUUGCAUUUAUGUUUAGUUUUCUUUACCCAGUAACCAAAGACACCUUGAAGCCUGUAAAGGCAGUUCAUCUUAACGGCUCUGUACCUUCUGGCACCAAUGGAAAUCCAAAUUGUGGACCUAAUGCGCAUGUCGAUGCUUCCCUGAAGACAAAUAAUAUGAAAUCGGGUUCAUGUAGCAAUGAUCGCAUACUUGAAUAUUCAAAUCAGAUCAUUGAAAUCAAUAAAGACUACCUCCCAGUUGGCAUACCAGCCAAGAAAGUUGGAGCAGAACUCCAAGCCUCUGGUGAGGCUGUAUUUGUGGAUGACAUUCCCUCUCCCAAGGACUGUCUUUAUGGAGCAUUUAUAUAUAGCACAAAACCUUUAGCCCAUGUGAGCAGCAUAGAACUCGAUCCUUCUCUCAAGCAGCUUAAUACGUUGGGAGUUGUGACUGUUAAAGAUAUCCCAGAAGGUGGUGGAAAUUUUGGAGCCAGCACUAUAUUUGGACCUGAACCUCUAUUUGGUGAUCCAGUUACUCAGUGUGCUGGGGAACCUCUUGCUAUUGUGAUUGCAGAAACACAAAGGUUUGCUAAUAUCGCUGCGAAACGAGCUGUUGUUGACUACAGUACUGAGAACUUAGAUGCUCCAAUUUUAUCGAUAGAGGAUGCUGUAAGAAGAUGCAGUUAUUUUGAAACCCCACCUUUUCUUCUUCCCCAAAAGAUUGGCGAUUUCUCAAAAGGGAUGGCAGAAGCAGAUCAAAAAAUCUACUCAGCUGAGGUGAAGCUUAAUUCUCAGUACUACUUUUACAUGGAAACACAAACUGCUCUGGCCAUACCUGAUGAGGAUAACUGCAUGGUAGUUUAUAGCUCAAGUCAAUGCCCUGAGACUAACACAAAAUGUCAUUGCAAAGUGCCUUGGUUUGCCUUUUCACAAUGUUCGUGUUAUUACUCGAAGAGUUGGCGGUGGCUUUGGGGGGAAAGCUGUUAGAUCAUUGCCUGUGGCGACUGCUUGUGCACUUGCAGCAUUUAAGUUGCGCCGUCCUGUUCGAAUGUAUCUGGACCGCAAAACCGACAUGAUUGUGAGUGGAGGUCGGCAUCCCAUGAAAAUAUGCUAUUCAGUGGGAUUCAAGUCAGAUGGAAAGAUCACUGCUUUGCAUAUAGCUUUGUUCAUAAAUGCAGGAAUGACAAAAGAUGUUAGCCCGGCCAUUCCUCACAAUUUCAUCGAGGCACUGAAGAAAUAUAAUUGGGGUGCCUUUUCUUAUGAAGCAAAGGUCUGUAAAACAAACACCACAACGAAGUCUGCGAUGCGGGGGCCUGGGGAAGUACAAGGCUCUUAUGUUUCUGAAGCUAUAAUUGAGCAUGUUGCUUCUGCACUCUCCACUGAUGCUAAUUUGGUUAGGCAUAGAAAUCUUCACACAGUUGAGAGCCUUUCUUUGUUUCACAAUGAGUGCAGUGAAGAUGGCAUGGGUUAUACGCUUCCAUCUAUAUGUGGUCAAUUGACUGCAUCAGAAAACUACCAGCACCGUCUUGAAAUAGUCCAGUCUUUCAACAAAAAUAACAGAUGGAAAAAGCGAGGCCUCUCUUUUGUGCCAAUUGUACACAAAGUAUUAUCUCGACCGACACCUGGAAAAGUGUCUAUCCUUAAUGAUGGGUCUAUUGUCGUUGAAGUUGGAGGCAUUGAGUUAGGCCAGGGGCUUUGGACAAAAGUGAAGCAGAUGGCAGCAUUUGGUCUUGGACAAUUGUGGACUGAUGGAACUCAAGAGUUGUCAGACAGAAUAAGAGUUAUUCAAGCGGAUACAUUGAGUAAUGUACAGGGAGGGUGGACCACAGGGAGUACAACAUCAGAAUCUAGCUGUGAAGCAGUUCAUCUUGCCUGCAAUAUCUUGGUUGACAGGCUGAAAUCAGUCAAGGAGCAAUUUCAAGAAAAGCAAAGCAGCCUUUCAUUGGAUGAACUUAUUUCCAAGGCAAAAAUGGUUGGUGUGGACUUAUCAGCACGAGAAUACUACAUUCCAGGGCCUUCUGGUUCUUAUCUAAACUAUGGAGCUGCUGCUAGUGAGGUUGAGAUUGAUCUUCUCACUGGGGCCACCACUAUUUUGCGAAGUGAUCUUAUAUACGACUGUGGCCAGAGCUUAAACCCUGCCGUGGACUUGGGGCAGGUUGAAGGGGCAUUUGUUCAAGGAAUUGGCUAUUUCAUGAGCGAGGAAUAUGUCACCAACUCAGAUGGAUUGGUUAUCUCAGACGGGACAUGGACAUACAAGAUCCCAACUGUGGACACCAUCCCAAAACAGUUCAAUGUUAAGCUGCUUAAUAGUGGAUUCCACAAGAAUCGGGUGCUCUCUUCAAAAGCAUCUGGGGAGCCACCUUUGCUUCUUGCCACUUCGGUGCACUGUGCGACAAGAGAAGCAAUUAGAGCAGCAAGGAAGCAACCCCACUUCUCUGAUUCUGGACCUUCUUCACAAUCCCAUUUUGAUCUGGAGGUUCCUGCCAUCAUGCCCGUGGUGAAGGAGCUCUGCAGCUUGGACAAUGUGGAGAGGUACUUGGAGAGCUUGCUGAUCUCCAAAUGAAGAACCAAUCCAAGUCAGCACCUGUUUUCACCAACUUUCCUUAGCUGUGUAAAACCACUGUAGUUACGUUAUUGCACGGUUCGUCAUGUUCCAAAGUUCAAAGAGAAGAUAGGUUCAUAGCUGUAGAUAGCAGGGAUCGUCAGAAGUUGCAAAUUUCGGUUAUCUGAAUAUAGCAGUUGUGUUGAGUGAUCAAUGCAGCAUAGAUGCUAUUAUAGUUCACACAGGAGUCAGGGAUAUCAUAGAAGAUAACAGAGGACGACAUACUUGCAGCGAUGGAACUGAGACUGUUUUCUAUGUCUUUUUGGCUUCCGAAUGUGCAUCGUUGAAAUAGAGUAUAGGACCAUACCACAAGAGGAUCAGUUUUGAGUCAUUAUAUAAAAAGAACAUCCGUGUGUUUCUUUUA